AUGUGCCUCCUUGCUUCUUGGUCUAAAAGAUACUUUUCUGGAGAUAAUAAAAUUUGGAAACUUAUUAUUGAUGACAAGUACAUAACUAAUAAGCCAAAUAUUUUUGCUUGCUCCAAUGAUGGGGCUUCCCCUCUUUGGAAAGGUAUCUUAUGGGCCAUUAAAGCUUCUAAGAUGGGGUACUCUUGGAUUGUGGGUAAUGGCAAGAAAAUUCGUUUUUGGGAGGACCAAUGGUUUGGAACUGCGCCCCUCUCCACUCAGUUUUGGAAUAUGUAUUCUUUGGUUAAUGAACAUAACAUUUCUAUAUAUAAAAUCUGGAAUGGGGUUGAUCUUAAGAUCACCUUUAGGAGAUGUUUGACUGGUGAUCAAGUAUCUGACUGGAUGGACCUUGUCUCUAUUGCUAGUACUAUUACAUUUAAAGAUUGUGAGGAUACACCAGUCUGGAAGUACAAUGCAAAUGGGCAAUAUUCAGUGAAAUCCUUUUACAACAUUGUGAACUUUAGGGGCGUCCUCCGUGUCCACACGCAAUAUGUGUGGAAGCUGAAGAUUGUCCCUAGAGUGCAAUUUUUUUAUGGCUGGUCUAUAAUAACAAGAUCUUGA
rnacentral:rRNA from 1 species